AGUGAACGCUGGCGGCGUGCCUAAUACAUGCAAGUCGAACGGAGAUUAAGUAGCUUGCUAUUUAAUCUUAGUGGCGCACGGGUGAGUAAUAUAUAGCUAACUUGCCCAUUACUAAGGGACAACAGUUGGAAACGACUGCUAAUACCUUAUACUCCGUAUCUAUAUAAGUAGAUACGGGAAAGUUUUUCGGUAAUGGAUAGGGCUAUAUCGUAUCAGCUAGUUGGUAAGGUAAUGGCUUACCAAGGCUAUGACGCGUAACUGGUCUGAGAGGAUGAUCAGUCACCCUGGAACUGAGACACGGUCCAGACUCCUACGGGAGGCAGCAGUAGGGAAUAUUGCUCAAUGGGGGAAACCCUGAAGCAGCAACGCCGCGUGGAGGAUGACACUUUUCGGAGCGUAAACUCCUUUUCUUGGGAAAGAAUUAUGACGGUACCCAAGGAAUAAGCACCGGCUAACUCCGUG
rnacentral:rRNA from 1 species